CCUACGGGUGGCAGCAGUAGGGAAUCUUCGGCAAUGGACGAAAGUCUGACCGAGCCACGUCGCGUGAGUGAAGAAGGUUCUCGGAUCGUUAAACUCUGUUGGUAGAGAAGAACGUUGGUGAGAGUGGAAAGCUCAUCAAGUGACGUUAACUACCCAGAAAGGGACGGCUAACUACGUGCCAGCAGCCGGGGUAAUACGUAGGUCCCGAGCGUUGUCUGGUUUUAUUGGGCGUAAAGCGAGCGCAGUGGUUUUAUUAUGUUUGGGUGAAAAGGCAGUGGCUCAACCAUUGUAUGCAUUGGAAACUGGUAGACUUGAGUGCAGGAGAGGAGAGUGGAAUGCCAUGUGUAGCGGUGAAAUGCGUAGAUAUAUGGAGGAACACCGAUGGCGAAAGCGGCUCUCUGGCCUGUAACUGACACUGAGGCUCGAAAGCGUGGGGAGCAAACAGGAUUAGAUACCCGAGUAGUC
rnacentral:rRNA from 1 species